rnacentral:tRNA from 1 species
GGGGGUAUAGCUCAGUGGUAGAGCAUUUGACUGCAGAUCAAGAGUCCCUGGUUCAACUCAAGUGCCCCNN